rnacentral:piRNA from 1 species
UAAUUUUUUUCACUGUAACGU